rfam:Bradyrhizobium sp. BR 10245 contig37, whole genome shotgun sequence.
CGUACGGGGAAGCGAUCUCCCCGUGAGGCGACAUGCCCAAGAAUCGCGUCCGGUUUUUCGAAAGGACGCUGCAUG